UAGCACUCUAUGCUGGGAUACUAGGGUCCGUUCUGUGCAAGGAAAAAAAAAAACUAUAUUAAAAGGAGGAAAAAGUUAUGCUGGAAGCUAAGUCAGGCAAGAAACUGCCUCUCCUUUUGUUCUUAAGCAGAUAGCUACAGAUAAAAGGUGAAAUAUCUCCACAGGUAGCUACUUGAUGUUCACCUUAUCUUAUGUAAAGUGCUGAUUUACUGAGAGGGAAACAAAUAACGUAAUUGACUACUCCUCUACCUGCUCCUUUUCUCUUGCAACCUGUGGGUUUAGUAACGUGACCAUACCUUCUUUCCCCUCCAGCUUGCUUUUCUCCUUUAAAUACUGAAGCCCUCAAAGUCAUCUCUGGAGAAAUGCACAGACCUCUCUCCUGGGCAUAUCCUUAACCUUGGCAAAAUGAACUUCUAAACUGAUUGAGACCUGUCUCAGAUAGUUUUUGGUUUAGUUUCAAUGUUGGUGGGCUCUCCAAUUGUGAAAUUUUUUUCUAAGCUCCUAAGAUCUCAUCUCCCAUGUCAAAGUUGAAAUUCUCUCCGGGAGACAGUCAUGCCUCGCUGCCUUCCAGUGACCAGGAUGAAAGAUGCACCCAUGAAUUAUAUAUUUCAAGUCAUCUCUAAAUUGCCUGGCAAUUACAGAACAGCAAGGUCAGCUGCCGGGAGCAAGAAUCUCCCUUUUGGCAGAGAAAAACAGAUGGAUGGAAACACAACGAUAUACAGAAAGAUGUUACCUCUUGGAGGGGGGGUGUUUUUCAGAUGCUGGUCACCAUAGAUGCUGGUCACCACCAUGCCCUUUCAUAAGUGUCCUUACAAAAGGAGGAAAUCAGGACAGAUACAUCCAGAGGGAAGACGCUAUGAAGACACAGAGAAGAGGGCCAUCUAUGCCAAGGAGAGGGGUAGGAAGCAAAUUCUUCCCACACACACCUCGGAGGAACCAACCCUGCUGACACCUUAAUUUUGGACUUCCAGCUUCCAGAACUGUGAGAUAAUAAAUUUUAGUUGUUUAAGCUACUCAGCAUGUGGUGUUUUGUUACAGCAACCCUAGCAAACUGAUACACCAGUGCUCUGCAUAGGACCUCAACAUUUCCUUUUCCUUUUUUUUUAAUGAGAGAGAAUUCAUAUGUGGCAUGGUAAAAACAAGUGCGCAGGAAUUUCAC
rnacentral:lncRNA from 10 species